UGAUUUACUUUAUUUGUUGUUGGAAUCGCGACAUUCUUACCGGGUACUUAACAGUGUAACGUAGUAAGUAACCCAUGUUUUAUAAAACCUAAACAGUACAACCUGCAAUGUAAUAAAAUAGUGGAGGUAAAUGAGUCUAUGUAACGUUACACUAAAGAUCAACAAGAGUGAUUUGUAGGCUGCUUUUUAGUAACAGCAGUAACUUAGCUAAGUUAUGACUGUGUUCCUUACAGUAAUGUAGGCAGUGUUGUGCUUUACAAUUAUGCAUGCAGAGAUAGAUUGUGGGGGAAAGCUAUUCCUCCAUAUGGAAUUAACUUACAGGCCUUUAGUCUGUUGGAAAAAAGAGUUUUAUUGUGUUAGUGAGGGAAAGCUUGCAGGUCAGUGGGCAUUAACCUUUAAGGUUGGUAAACACUUGUACACUGAAGCAUACAAUACUGUACAAUUACUGACAUAGGCAUGUGCUAUUCAGGUGUCAAAGCUGUGCGAAACUGGAGGGAGAAACUUGAGAGACCGUGCCGGAAGAAUGCUGGACAGAGUUCACUAAAAUUUAUUAAUUUCAAAGUUCAACAUGAAUGGUGGUGGUCCACUGCAGAAGCAAGCAUUUGAAAAAACAUCAGUUCUCAGUUAUUAAAGAUGCUGUGUUGAACAACUUCCCAGCAGCAACAGAACUGGAAGUGAAGGAUGCAAUGGGGGCAUUUCAAACAGGCACCAGGGAGCACGGGGGGGGGGGGGGGUAUAGAAAUUAGUACAAUUAAUAAGUUGACGUGAACUGAAGAUAGUUUGUUAAUGUUUAGAUGUUAUUUCAUUUUUAAAAUUGUAUUUUGUUAUAUAUGCUUUUAUUUUGUUACUGUUUUUAUUCUUUUUGUUAAAAGUAGUUUUUCUUCAUUUUGUCUUAUCUGAAUUUCUAUUGUAUUAACAAUAUUUUUUGUAAUAAAUUGCAUGAUUGCAUGUUUAUGAGAACCUUUUUUAAUGGAUUAAAAAUAAUUCUUUAGCCAUUCUUUUGUUCUUUAUUAGACACACACGUGUAGUCGUUUUAUAGCCGUCUACUUAACGGCUAGUCUAUUCUUGGGCUAUGAUAGACGUCUACUAGAUUUUCACUGACAGCCCAAAAUUAGCCUUGUUUUAGCCUAGACCCACAUUCACCGUCUAUUAGACGUAUAUAUGUAGACGUUUAAUAGCCGUCUAUUUCAUGACUAGUCUAUUUCUUGGGCUAUGAUAGACGUCUACUAGAUUUUCACUGACAGCCCAAAAUUAGCCUUGUUUUAGCCUAGACGUCAGGGGGGUGUUUAGACGGCUACUAGACGUCUAUUAGCCGCAAAAUUGCUU